rnacentral:rRNA from 1 species
AUACGAAGUCGUACCUGCCCAGUGAAUUAUUUUUUUAACGGCCGCAGUACUCUGACUGUGCAAAGGUAGCAUAAUAAUUUGCCUUAUAAUUGAAGGCUAGAAUGAAUGGUUUGACAAGGAUAAUACUGUCUCUAUAAAAAUUUAUAAAAUUUUAUAUCUAAGUGAAAAAGCUUAGAUUAAACUAAAAGACAAGAAGACCCUAUCGAGCUUUAAAGGAAUUAGUAAGUUAUAUUAUCAAUAUAGAAUAUUAGUUUCUAAAUAUUUUGGUUGGGGCAACCUAGGAAUAAUAAAAGCUUCCUAUUAUUAGUAAUAAUUAUCAUUGAUCCAAAAAUUUUGAUUAAAAGAAUUAGUUACCGUAGGGAUAACAGCAUAAUUCUUUUUUAGAGUUCUAAUCGAAAAAGGAGUUUGUGACCUCGAUGUUGGACCAGAAUUUCCUAAAGAUGUAGAGGUCUUUAAGGGUUGGUCUGUUCGACCAUUAAAAUUCUA